rnacentral:rRNA from 1 species
CUUUACUGUAGCCUGGUAUUGGGUUCGGGCUUUGACUGCGCAGGAUAGGUGGGAGACUAUGAAGCUGCCCUUGUGGGGGCAGUGGAGUCAUCAGUGAGAUACCACUCUGUCAAGGCUAGAAUUCUAACCGUCUGCCGUUAUCCGGCGACGGAACAGUAUCAGGUGGGCAGUUUGACUGGGGCGGUCGCCUCCUAAAUGGUAACGGAGGCGCGCAAAGGUUCCCUCAGGCUGGUUGGAAAUCAGCCGAAGAGUGUAAAGGCAGAAGGGAGCUUGACUGCAAGAGCAACAACUCAAGCAGGGACGAAAGUCGGCCUUAGUGAUCCGACGGCGCUGAGCGGAAGGGCCGUCGCUCAACGGAUAAAAGUUA